rnacentral:rRNA from 1 species
CCUGGUUGAUCCUGCCGGUAGUCAUAUGCUUGUCUCAAAGAUUAAGCCAUGCAUGUCUAAGUAUAAAUCGUUUAUAUAGGUGAAACUGCGAAUGGCUCAUUAAAUCAGUUAUAAUUUAUUUGAUAGUACCCACUACUUGGAUAACCGUGGUAAUUCUAGAGCUAAUACAUGCACAAAAGCCCGACACAAGAAGGGCUGUAUUUAUUAGAUAAAAAACCAAUGCCCUUUGGGCUCUUUGGUGAUUCAUGAUAACUAAACGAAUCGCAUGGCCUUGAGCCGGCGAUGGUUCAUUCAAAUUUCUGCCCUAUCAACUUUCGAUUGGUGAGUAGUGUUCACCAAUGGUGUCGACGGGUAACGAAGAAUUAGGGUUCGAUCUCGGAGAGGACGCCUGAGAGACGGCGUACACAUCCAAGGAAGGCAGCAGGCGCGCAAAUUACCCAAUCCCGAUGCGGGGAGGUAGUGACGACAAAUACUGAUGCAGGGCUCUUUUGGGUCUUGCAAUUGGAAUGAGUACAAUUUAAACCCCUUAACGAGGAACAAUUGGAGGGCAAGUCUGGUGCCAGCAGCCGCGGAAAUUCCAGCUCCAAUAGCGUAUAUUAAAGUUGUUGCAGUUAAAAAGCUCGUAGUUGAAAUUUGGGCCUGGCUGGCCGGUCCGCCUCACCGCGUGCACUGGUCCGGCCGGGCCUUUCCUUCUGGGGAAGCCCAUGGCCUUCAUUGGCUGUGUGGGGGAACCAGGACUUUUACUUUGAAAAAAUUAGAGUGUUCAAAGCAGGCCUUUGCUCGAAUACAUUAGCAUGGAAUAAUGGAAUAGGACGGCUUUCCUAUUUUGUUGGUUUCUAGGAGAGCCGUAAUGAUUAAUAGGGAUAGUCGGGGGCAUCAGUAUUCAAUUGUCAGAGGUGAAAUUCUUGGAUUUAUUGAAGACUAACUACUGCGAAAGCAUUUGCCAAGGAUGUUUUCAUUAAUCAGUGAACGAAAGUUAGGGGAUCGAAGACGAUCAGAUACCGUCGUAGUCUUAACCAUAAACUAUGCCGACUAGGGAUCGGUGGAUGUUACAAUUUUGACUCCAUCGGCACCUUACGAGAAAUCAAAGUUUUUGGGUUCUGGGGGGAGUAUGGUCGCAAGGCUGAAACUUAAAGAAAUUGACGGAAGGGCACCACCAGGAGUGGAGCCUGCGGCUUAAUUUGACUCAACACGGGGAAACUCACCAGGUUCGGAUAUGAUAAGGAUUG